AACGAACGCUGGCGGCAGGCCUCAAACAUGCAAGUCUAGGGGGUGUAGCAAUACAUCACCGGCGGACGGGUGCGUAACGCGUGGGAAUAUACCUAUCGAUUCGGAACAACUGAGGGAAACUUCAGCUAAUACCGAAUACGUCCUAACGGAGAAAGAUUUAUCGUCGAUAGAUUAGCCCGCGCUCGAUUAGCUAGUUGGUGGGUAACGGCCCACCAAGGCGACGAUCGAUAGCUGUUCUGAGAGGAAGAUCAGCCACACUGGGACUGAGACACGGCCCAGACUCCUACGGGAGGCAGCAGUUGGGAAUCUUGGACAAUGGGGGAAACCCUGAUCCAGCCAUGCCGCGUGAGUGAUGAAGGCC
rnacentral:rRNA from 1 species